UACCCACACAGCAGUAGACUCCUAGGCGGAUCCGCCUUCAAGACGCCAAACCCGCGUGACUGUCGCAUUCGUUUUGGUGCCGCACAGAGGAUCAGCUCCGCCUCCAGGCGGCCCCGUAAAUUCUACUGUCAAACAGCGGAUCCUGAGUGGACCCAUUUCGGAUCCGCGGGCGCGGACGCGCAUUUACUGUAACGGUUGAACAUGACUGUACACCAAGAGCCAAGAAGAGUCAUACUAGUGGAUAUUUUCUUUGCUGGGACACGGUUGCGCUGAACCCUCUCGACGUCAACUUUUAUCGGCUGGAUUCUAGCAUCUAACGUUACGAUUGCCUCUGUUGGGUUUGCUUGAUCAACCAUCGUUUCGGGGACUCUGAUGACAGUGAAGAGCCAGAAAAUGGUGACUUUGCAUCUCUGAGGUACCUUCCAACUCGCCUGGUAUGUCAGUUGAACCCUCAAGCCCAAGCCAAUUGCACUGGCAAACUCCACCAUCUCGCCGAGUGCCAGGCAGCCGAGUCACUACCCCUCAACCUGGAGAAAACUGUUAAGGUAAAGACUGAUCUCUGAAAUAAUAUUGAAUACAGUGGCCCCAUCUAUAUUAACACAGCAGUAGUCACUCCAUUUCAGAUCAACAGAUUGCAUCUGCAUUACCAUCUGAUAUUUUCUGCAUACUUUAUCCAUUACUUUCAAAAUCUCAGCCAAAUAUUUUGUCAGUUAAAACA